rnacentral:tRNA from 1 species
CCCAUAGUCUAGCCCGGUCAAGGACGCUGCCCUUUCAAGGCGGUAACACGGGUUCAAAUCCCGUUGGGA